ensembl:lncRNA
GAUGACACCAAGCUAUGUGGUGUGGUUGACAUGCUGGAGGGAAGGGAUGCCAUCCAGAGGGGCCUGGACAGUCUUGAGAGAUUGGCCUGUGUGAACUUCAUGAAGUUCAACAAGGCCAAGUGCAAAGUCCUGCACCUGAGCAGGGGCAAACCUAAGAACAUAUAAAGGCAGGGGAAUGAGUGCAUAGAGGGCUGCCGUGAAGCAAAGGACUUCAGGGUGUUGGUGGAUGAAAAAAUGAACAUGAUCCAGCAAGGUGUACUUCCAGUCCAAAAAGCCAACCAUAUCCUGGGCAGCAUCAAAGGAAUUGUGAGCAGCAGGUAGAGGGAGGUGAUAUAAGUAUUUAAGGGAAGUGUACAAGGCUGGGCUGGAUGGGGCUUUGAGAAACCUGGUCUAGUGGAAGGUGUCCCUGCCAAUGGCAGGGAGGUUGGAAUUACAUGGUCUUAAGGUCCCUUCCACAAAGCAUUUUGUGAUUCUAAUAAGAAGCAGCCAGCUAGAGAUGAGAAACAAACAGAAGUUAAAAUGGAGGCUGUUUCUCUCAUUAUAGAAAAGAGAAGAUCAGGUUGCAGCUGAAAAGAGAAGACAUUUGAAAGGAAAAGUCAAACAUAAAGAUAAAUAAUUUAUAUCAAUUACAAGAGCAAAAGAGGUGAAUUUGUAUUUUAAAAAUUAAAAAAAAUACACCCCAAAAUACUUUUACUGUCAUUUGGAAUGUGAAUUGAUAUUUUGUGAGUUCUAAAAAGGAAGGACUGCUCAUCUUGGGACAGUUUUCCACUUUGUUUUUUGUAUGUCUUAGGUGUUAAGAACUCAAGAGCCUCAGGACAUUCAACAGUAUUCGCAAUGACCAGCUAGCAUGUUUGCAAAUACCUGUUUGUGGAGCACCCACUACUACAAACUGCUUCAGGAUGUAGGCCCGAUGCUGUCUUCUGCCCUUUCUGAAACCUGCAGUGCUUGUACCUUCAAGCAGAACUGCAGUGAGAGACUUGAGUGAUGAGGAUACACCCCCAUCACCAGUUCAGUUUUGCCUCACUCUUCUCCCCUGCCUUUCCACAGCCUUUAUUACUAGCUGAAGGUAAUUUUCUUCCCUGCCCUUCACCUUCUUUUCCAUCUGCUUAGAGUCAUAGCCUCACUUUUUCUUCCUAGGAGCCUCAUCUAGCUGCUGCAUGUUAGUGAUAGAGAUUUUAAGUGGCUGGAGAGAGCUGAAAGAGCAAUGGAGUGGGGAAGGGGGAAGGUGGUUAUGACAGAGAAGGCAGCACCUGAUACUUUGCAAUGAUUCUUCACUGUGGUGGAAAAUCCCUCCUCCUACUGUAGAAGGACCUCUUGCCACGGCUACAAGCUGCAUCCUUUUGUCAAGGAAGAAAUGCAGGCUACAAGGCCUAUCUCUCGCUCACAGCUUUACUGCCUAGCCUGUCAUAGUGAACCACCUUGCAGAAAGGAAUUUUACAGGUGAUUUCAGAGCACUGGGAAUAGGCUGCAUUGUGACCCCUCUUCAUCACCAGAGACAUAUCUCUGUGGGCAUAUGGGAACAAGCGUAAGCAUUUUCUUGGUUUUAUGGUCCACUAGCUACAUAGUUUAAUAAGCAUGAGCUGUGAUCUAGCAAAUGUUUAAUCACCUGUAGACAGCGUGAUCUGUGGGCAAAAUGAACUUCAGUUCGUCUGCCAUCCUUCCAUGUAGAAUGACCAACAUUAGUCCCAUUCGUUUUCCUUCUAAUUUAGCUCAGACGGUGAAAAGGAGAAUAUUAAGAGCUGCUAGAACCCUGUCGCCAUGAAGAAUCCUUUUGGCAUUAACACCCAUGCAUCUCAAGAGAGAGAUUAAGUCCAAGUGUUUGAGAAAACAUGUUUAGGGUCAGACGGGUAUAUUUAUCACUCUUAACAUGAUGCAUUGGGAGGAAACAGAAAUAUUGUGUUCCAUGCAACAAUUUUGCCUGAUGUAUGACAGGAUUCUGUUCCAACAUGGGGGAAACAGAGCAUCACUGAGCAAAAUGUAGUGCC